AACGCUAGCUACAGGCUUAACACAUGCAAGUCGAGGGGCAGCAUGGUCUUAGCUUGCUAAGGCCGAUGGCGACCGGCGCACGGGUGAGUAACGCGUAUCCAACCUGCCUUACACUCUUGGACAGCCUUCUGAAAGGGAGAUUAAUACAAGAUGUUAUCAUGAGUAAGCAUUUUCGCAUGAUUAAAGGUUUACCGGUGUAAGAUGGGGAUGCGUUCCAUUAGAUAGUAGGCGGGGUAACGGCCCACCUAGUCUUCGAUGGAUAGGGGUUCUGAGAGGAAGGUCCCCCACAUUGGAACUGAGACACGGUCCAAACUCCUACGGGAGGCAGCAGUGAGGAAUAUUGGUCAAUGGACGAGAGUCUGAACCAGCCAAGUAGCGUGAAGGAUGAAGGUUCUAUGGAUUGUAAACUUCUUUUAUACGGGAAUAAACGGAUCCACGUGUGGAUUUUUGCAUGUACCGUAUGAAUAAGGAUCGGCUAACUCCGUGCCAGCAGCCGCGGUAAUACGGAGGAUCCGAGCGUUAUCCGGAUUUAUUGGGUUUAAAGGGAGCGUAGAUGGGCUGUUAAGUCAGUUGUGAAAGUUUGCGGCUCAACCGUAAAAUUGCAAUUGAUACUGGCAGUCUUGAGUACAGUUGAGGUAGGCGGAAUUCGUGGUGUAGCGGUGAAAUGCUUUGAUAUCACGAAGAACUCCGAUUG
rnacentral:rRNA from 1 species